GACGAACGCUGGCGGCGUGCUUAACACAUGCAAGUCGAACGGAAAGGCCCUGCUUUUGUGGGGUGCUCGAGUGGCGAACGGGUGAGUAACACGGGAGUAACCUGCCCUGGACUUUGGGAUAACUUCAGGAAACUGGGGCUAAUACCGGAUAGGAGCUCCUGCUGCAUGGUGGGGGUUGGAAAGUUUCGGCGGUUGGGGAUGUACUCGCGGCUUAUCAGCUUGUUGGUGGGGUAGUGGCUUACCAAGGCUUUGACGGGUAGCCGGCCUGAGAGGGUGACCGGCCACAUUGGGACAGAGAUACGGCCCAGACUCAUACGGGAGGCAGGAGUGGAGAAUAUUGCACACUGGGCGGAGGCCUGAUGCAGCAACGCCGCGUGGGAGAUGACGGCCUUCGGGUUGUAAACCGCUUUCGCCUGUGACGAAGCGUGAGUGACGGUAAUGGGUAAAGAAGCACCGGCUACCUCCGU
rnacentral:rRNA from 1 species